CGUAGGGCCCGAGCGUUAUCCGGUAUUAUUGGGCGUAAAGAGUGCGUAGGCGGUCACGUAAGACAAUGGUUAAAGCUCCGAGCUCAACUCGGAAAUCGCCGUUGUGACUGCAUGACUAGUCGAUAGCAGGGGCAAGCAGAAUUCUCGGUGUAGGAGUGAAAUCCGUUGAGAUCGAGAAGAAUACCAAUGGCGAAGGCAGCUUGCUAGGCUAUCCGAGACGCUGAGGCACGAAAGCGUGGGGAGCGAACGGGAUUGGAUACCCCGGUAGUCCACGCCGUAAACGAUGCACACUAGCUAUCAGAAGUAUCGACCCUUCUUGUAGCGAAGCUAACGCGUUAAGUGUGCCGCCUGGGAAGUACGGUCGCAAGACUA
rnacentral:rRNA from 1 species